CGGAGAGGAGGUAUGUGUUGUGGUAGUGCUUCAAUAAAUGGCACAUUAGGUUGAGGAUCAACUUGUGGACUCUCCACAUGUUACUUUUAGAUAGACCGUAGGUCUUGAACUUCCUCAAGUUCAACUAUCCUCCCACUACCCCCUUCUUGGAUAAAUGCUUUCUUCAAGAAAGUGGCAUACCUACUAACAAACUCCUUUUGUAGAGUAGAAUGAUAGAAGUGGCAUCCUAUACUCUCCUUAGGAUAACCUACAAACAUAUAUUUAUCCGACCUAGCACUUAGCUUAUGUCCUUCAGUAUUUUUGACAUAAGCA
rnacentral:lncRNA from 1 species